GACGAACGCUGGCGGCGUGCUUAACACAUGCAAGUCGAACGGAAAGGCCCUGCUUUUGUGGGGUGCUCGAGUGGCGAACGGGUGAGUAACACGUGAGUAACCUGCCCUUGACUUUGGGAUAACUUCAGGAAACUGGGGCUAAUACCGGAUAGGAGCUCCUGCUGCAUGGUGGGGGUUGGAACGUUUCGGCGGUUGGGGAUGGACUCGCGGCUUAUCAGCUUGUUGGUGGGGGAGUGGCUUACCCAGGCUUUGACGGGUAGCCGGCCUGGGAGGGUGACCGGCCACAUUGGGACUGCGAUACGGCCCAGACUCCUACGGGAGGCAGCAGUGGGGAAUAUUGCACAAUGGGCGGAAGCCUGAUGCAGCAACGCCGCGUGCGGGAUGACGGCCUUCGGGUUGUAAACCGCUUUCGCCUGUGACGAAGCGUGAGUGACGGUAAUGGGUAAAGAAGCACCGGCUAACUACGUG
rnacentral:rRNA from 1 species